CUUGAUAUUUUGAUACAUAAGUAUUAUGAUGUUAUGAUUCAUGAACGGCACAUUAAGAUUGAUCCCGUCUCUGGAACAGUUCUUGGAUUAUUUUAUUCCUGUGAUUCGAGACUCUGUCCUGGUUCCAAUUUUAACCCUGUAAUUGAUCAUGACGAGGUCAAUAAUACUAUAGGAUAUUUUAAGCGGCCGGAUUUUGGUCGCGAAAUAUAAUAUUUCAGAUGAUUUAUUUUGAAAAAAAAAUUAAAAUGUGUCUAAAAUG